UGGGGAAUAUUGGACAAUGGGCGCAAGCCUGAUCCAGCCAUGCCGCGUGAGUGACGAAGGCCUUAGGGUUGUAAAGCUCUUUUGGCGGGGAAGAUAAUGACGGUACCCGCAGAAUAAGCUCCGGCUAACUUCGUGCCAGCAGCCGCGGUAAUACGAAGGGAGCUAGCGUUGUUCGGAAUCACUGGGCGUAAAGCGCACGUAGGUGGGCAGUUAAGUCAGGGGUGAAAGCCCGAGGCUCAACCUCGGAAUUGCCUCCGAUACUGGCUGUCUAGAGUUCGAGAGAGGUGAGUGGAAUUCCUAGUGUAGAGGUGAAAUUCGUAGAUAUUAGGAAGAACACCGGUGGCGAAGGCGGCUCACUGGCUCGAUACUGACACUGAGGUGCGAAAGCGUGGGGAGCAAACAGGAUUAGAUACCCCGGUAGUCCCUGAGCGGGCUGGCAAGGCGCAU
rnacentral:rRNA from 1 species